rnacentral:tRNA from 91 species
UGGUCCGUUGGUCAAGGGGUUAAGACACCGCCUUUUCACGGCGGUAACACGGGUUCGAAUCCCGUACGGACUAU